rnacentral:lncRNA from 1 species
GGCGGUCUAUUUCGGUUGUUCAGCAUCAGAUUAGUGGCUCCGAGAGUGUUUACAUGAAGUUUUUAAUCAAGAGGAACAUAAAUCGGAAGCCAUCCGAUUUUAGACGUUAAUCGGAGCUCUGAAAACCAAUUAAGGACUGACGUGGUUAAGCAUCAUGGAAGUUGAAGAAGAAAGCGAUUUCUCGGAUAGGGAUUUGACAGGUGAAUCUGAAAGCGAUUUCUCGGAUAUGGAUUUGACAGCACACAAAACAAAAACACCAAAGAGGGGGUUGACCAGGUUACCAAAAAUGCGAACAGCAUUUACAAACUCGGGUGGAAAAAAACACAAAGUUACAUUUGAUGAAUUGCAGAAGUUUUCUGG